rnacentral:rRNA from 1 species
AGAGCGAACGCUGGCGGCAGGCUUAACACAUGCAAGUCGAACGGGCGUAGCAAUACGUCAGUGGCAGACGGGUGAGUAACGCGUGGGAACGUACCUUUUGGUUCGGAACAACACAGGGAAACUUGUGCUAAAUACCGGAUAAGCCCUUACGGGGAAAGAUUUAUCGCCGAAAGAUCGGCCCGCGUCUGAUUAGCUUGUUGGUGAGGUAACGGCUCACCAAGGCGACGAUCAGUAGCUGGUCUGAGAGGAUGAUCAGCCACAUUGGGACUGAGACACGGCCCAAACUCCUACGGGAGGCAGCAGUGGGGAAUAUGACAAUGGCGAAAGCCUGAUCCAGCCAUGCCGCGUGAGUGAUGAAGGCCCUAGGGUUGUAAAGCUCUUUGUGCGGGAAGAUAAUGACGGUACCGCAAGAAUAAGCCCCGGCUAACUUCGUGCCAGCAGCCGC